rnacentral:tRNA from 1 species
GGGCGAUUAGCUCAGUUGGUUCAGAGCGCCUGCCUUACAAGCAGGAGGCCAAUGGUUCGAAUCCAUUAUCGCCCACUA